CAUGGCAGAGAAAUUAUUUUCUGGUUUCUCAUGUAGGUCCUCGUGUAGUCCUUCUUAUAAGCUGCCUAUAUGGACUAGUCUAUAAAGUAUUUCUGCUAGAAACAUGAGGAAUAUGUGACUGCAACAUACUUUUCUUACUACAGCCUGCAUACAGAAUGUUCUUUAAAUGAGCACAGAAUGUGCUUCAGAAUGAAAGAUUCUCAGUGAAAGCUAGUAGUUAAAAUUAAUAUCCACUUGAUGUGAAAAUGGAACAAACAUCAGAAGGACCAAGCAUUUUGCUUGGCUAAAGAAACUGCAGUUCUCAAGAGACAGGUAUGUUUCUGCAAAGGGGUGGAGAAGAUUUUAAAAAUGACUAAUCUAAAGAUUAAGAAGAACAAAAGGCAGGCUGCAGCAGGGAAAAGAGUAAAGAGUGCUGUAGUGGAUGAAGAUCUUCAUUUUCUUCUGUUAUGGAUUGUCCUAUCAUAUAAAAGAAUGCGUUUUAUGUGAUAUAAAAGUAUCUUUAAAAAUGUAUUGGAACUCUGAGAACCCACUUGCAAGAAUCUAAAUGAUUUUCACUUCAUUCUUGAACACGGCUAAGUGCUUUAGUUGUUAUUACUGAAUAUGAUUUCAUCCUGUAAUUAAGUAAUUCAGUGUGAGGCUAAUAAAAGUUGUGUUUUGCAAUUUGUGCAUAAGAACAACAGAAAAUAUCAUGAGAAUCACCUUGACUAAUUUUAAAUUAAUGAAAUAACAUUAUCUUUAAUGCUUUGCUGAAAGCAAUUUGCAAAUUAUGUUAAAAAAACAAACAAACAAACAAAAACAUAAUGGGAAAGAGUAGUUUGGGGGUUAAAUAGUAAUUAGUAAGAUUAGAAUAGUAAGACGGAAAUAAAGGAUCAGUGCCUUAAAAGAUGUCAGGGUAAAAACUUCCAUUCUCUAGAAGGACAUUCUUUCACUUAAAAAGAAAAUUUUGGGUGUCUAGUAUGGAGGGGGACGGUAAGCUGGUAACAAUGUCACUACUAGCAAAGACUGGUACUUGGAACAAAUGACAAUUAUUUGCUCUAACGAGUAAUUGCCCAAGAUUAGGAAAGGUGCUGGGGCUAUAUGGGUGAAAUUAUUUUAAUCCCCUUAAUAAAUAAAUAAAUAAAUAAAAGUUAAAAAAGAAACAAAAAUCACUUCAAGAUUCAUUUAGAAUACCUGACUACAAGGUAACAUUCAACGAAAUCAAGCUCUUCAUGAUGGAUAGAUUCCACUGCAAUAGUGUAAUCUUCAAAUUGAGAGUGGAAAAAUAGUAAAAGAAAGUGUCAAAAAUGAGACUUCGGAAGAAGUAAUGAAUUCUUUUAAACUAACUUAGUACUUAAGAAGAAUUAAAAAAA